rnacentral:rRNA from 1 species
UGGCGCUACAUGCAGUCGAGCGGUACAGAAAGUAGCUUGCUACUUUGCUGACGAGCGGCGGACGGGUGAGUAAUGCUUGGGAACAUGCCUUGAGGUGGGGGACAACAGAUUGGAAACGACUGCUAAUACCGCAUAAUGUCUACGGACCAAAGGGGGCUUCAGCUCUCGCCUUUANAUUGGCCCAAGUGGGAUUANCUANUUGGUGAGGUAAUGGCUCACCAANGCGACGAUCCCUAGCUGGUUUGANAGGAUGAUCAGCCACACUGGGACUGAGACACGGCCCAGACUCCUACNGGAGGCAGCNNUGGGGAAUAUUGCACAAUGGGCGCAAGCCUGAUGCAGCCAUGCCGCGUGUGUGAAGAAUGCCUUCNGGUUGUAAAGCACUUUCAGUCNCGAGGAAAGGUUANUGNUUAAUACCCG